GUAGGUCGUUAAGUGGUUGGAGUUAGUCACCGGGCGAUUAGCUUGUGUUUUCCCCGAUCUUGAGCCUGGCUGGAUUAGUGCGGAGGGACGAGGGACCAGCGCUUCCUCCUGAGUCACCCUAAGGCGGCAGCCCCGGGGGGUCAGGGAAGGAGGCGACCGGGCUGCCGACGGGGCACGAGGCCACGGCGCUGCCGGCUGAGAAGCCCGCCUUCUCCUCCCGGGUCUUCCGCCCGCUGUUGGCGUGGCCUUGGAGAGCGCGCCCCCUCCAGGGAGAUCUUCUCCAGUGCUGCAUCGAGCCGGGUGGGACUCGGCCCGCCGCCUGGGUCCUGAUCCCUUUGUCGAAUGCUGGCUCCCUGAAGAUGCUAUCAAAACAACCUGUUGCUAAGAAAGAACUGAAUUUGUUGCCUCCCUUGUUUAGGGAGAGCACUAUCUUGAAAGAGUUCAUAGUCGAGUGGAGGUGGGAGGGCAACGUUGAGGUAUUGAGGAUUUGGAGGCUGAUUUAAGGUGGGAUUUUUGAUGCGGGAUUUAGUUAGGACUGGGUAAGGAUUAUGUUGUAUAUAGGGCUACCUCCGAGAUAUUCCGGGUUUGGUUUCAGACCACCGCAAUAAAGCGAAUAUUGCACUAAAGCAAAUCACAUG